rnacentral:sRNA from 1 species
GUUUUGCGUGAGUGAUGGGAGUGGAGCUCUUUUUUGAGAAGCUUUUUUGCCUCUCAAAAAAAGCGCGAACGGACAGCAGGACCCGAA